rnacentral:rRNA from 1 species
GGGUACGGGGAUCAGGGUUCGAUUCCGGAGAGGGAGCCUGAGAAACGGCUACCACAUCUAAGGAAGGCAGCAGGCGCGCAAAUUACCCAAUCCAGACACUGGGAGGUAGUGACGAGAAAUACCAAAGUGUGCCCUCACGGGUUCACUAUUGGAAUGAACGUAACACAGUACCUUCGAUGAGUACCUACUGGAGGGCAAGUCUGGUGCCAGCAGCCGCGGUAAUUCCAGCUCCAGUAGUGUAUAUCAAAAUUGUUGCGGUUAAAACGCUCGUAGUCGGAUUACAAGCGAUCUGCGUCGACUGGGCCGUUGUGUCGAGUGGGCGUGGGUCGCUUUUAUCGCGAGAACCACUAGUACGCUUAACCGUGUAUGGGUGGCCACUUGCGGAGCGUGCCUUGAAUAAAGCACAGUGCUCAAAGCAAGCGUAACGCUUGAAUGUUUUAGCAUGGAACGAAUAGCCUCAAAGUGCACCAGUUUGAGUGUUGGUUCUCACAACUGGGGUCACAUGAUUAAAAGGGGCAUUUGAGGGCGUUAGUACUUGGUGGCGAGAGGUGAAAUUCUUAGACCCACCAAAGACUCACUAAUGCGAAAGCAUUCGCCAAGAAUGUUUUCAUUGAUCAAGAACGAAAGUUAGAGGUUCGAAGACGAUCAGAUACCGUCCUAGUUCUACACAGUAAACUAUGCCACCACGAGAUCAGUCCGGAAUGAUCCAGGUUGGUCUCCCCAGGAAACUUGAAGUGUUCGGGUUCUGGGGAGAGUACGGUCGCAAGUCUGAAAUUUGAAGGAAUUGACGGAAGGGCACCACCAGGAGUGGAGCCUGCGGCUUAAUUUGACUCAACACGGGGCAACUCACCAGGUCCAGACAUUGAAAGGAUCGACAGACUGAUAGAUCUUUCGAGAUCCAAUGAUUGGUGGUGCAUGGCCGUUCUUAGUUGGUGGAGUGAUCUGUCAGGUCUAUUCCGGUAACGAGCGAGACCACGAUCUCUAUUUGAUUGCGGCCGUACGCGCUGUGGUUGUGUUGCGACCUGCACAGCUCUGGUGUGGUAACACAGCGGGGUUAGUGUUAGGGAGUAGCCACUGCAGAUUGCUGGUCGGUCGGUCAUAGAGAGACUACCGGAAUACAAGCCGGGGGAAGCGUGGCAAUAACAGGUCUGUGAUGCCCUUCGAUGUUCUGGGCUGCACGCGCGCUACAAUGGCAGUGACAACAAGUGUCUGCGUCGAGAGACGUGGAAAAUCUUGACAAUUGCUGUCGUGAUUGGGAUUGAGCCUUGUAAUAAUUGCUCAUGAAAGAGGAAUUCCUCGUAAGCGCGAGUCACCAACUCGUGUUGAAUACGUCUCUGCCCUUUGUACACACCGCCCGUCGCUACUACCGAUUGAAUGGCUUUUCGAGAAGUCGGGAUUGGAGGUCGUGAGACUCCGAGAG